ensembl:lncRNA
UAACAAGUUGAUAUUUACGAGAGAGGAGACGUUAAUUUCUGGCAGAAACCCCUCCCGAACAGCUCCGGCUGCACGAGGUGCACCGCUAGGUGGCACAGCCCACUUACAGAUCGCUGCCCUGUGCUCCCGUGCUGCCCGGGGCUGGGUGUGCCGCAAUCACAGCUCACAGAAAUGUAUAAACAAGCCAGAGAAGCGGCCAGCAUGAAAAAUUGCGAUGGAGGCAAGAAGACUUUUCAGGUAUCAGUCUUGAAUCCUGCUGGCAAACCGAGGUGGAGGCCUUGAUGUGGAAGAGAAAUAAAUGAUUCUUCACUGUUUGUGCUAAGGACUUUCAGAUUCUCAUAUCGUCCUGCCAAUGAAGAGUUUGGGGGUGUACAAGAAGCUCAGAGGGGACAGAACCAGAACAGCUGAAUCAAACUGGACAAAGGUUUAUUCCAUACCAUAGGAUGUCAUGAUCAGCAAUAAAAAUGGAAGGAGUUGACCCAGGGAGAUGCUGUUGCUCGGGUUCUGGCUGAGUAUCUGUUGGCUGAUGCUGCAACAACGGUUUCUAGCCUCUGGCAAGGAAAACAGAUGAGCAAAUAUCUGUCUUGGAAGCUAAAUGCAUCGUCCCAGCGCAGGCCUCUCCAGCUUUCCAGAUACCAUGAGUCCUCAGCCUGCUCUUAAAUUGCUACAACAACAUUAUGGAUCCUUCAUACUCAGAUUUUUGUGAGCAUCUACUCUGACAUCCUUCAUAACAUGUAACAGUAAAUUGUGGAAGCUGUUCAGAAGAUGGAUGCAUCAUGGACUUUUGUACCUGCCUUUAUGCAUGGAACAUCCCUAUCAUCUGCAACAAAGUGAAUUUGCAGUUUUCAUUGUGGUUGCUUUAGGAAAGGCCUCACCUACAUUCCAUCAGGUAGAAGCAUACUGGAAACCAAUCCUGUAUCUGAAUACAUAUAUAACAGUCUUAAGGGUAUUUCAGAAUGAACAAACAUAAGUUGGUCUGAAAGGAAUGCCUCCUACACGUUUCUGUGGAAACUACUACCACAGAUACGAUAACAUUAUUUGAUAGCACAAAUUCAAAGCUAUCUUUGAAUUUGCUAAACAAAAUACUGUUUUUCAGCACAGUCAACAACAUUAGCAGAUUUGUGCAGAUGAACUGAUUGAGAUGCUUUUCCUUACGCAGAAUGUAUAUAGACAGCCAGAACAUGGUUUGUCUUUUUCCAUCACUGUCUUCACUGCUGUAAUGCAUCACCCACCACCUCAGUGUGCUCACAUUCACUGUUUGCUCUCCAUAAACACUCGCCAAGUGUAGAGGAAUGUCAGUGGGUGCCAUUUUUUCCCCAUGGAAGAAUUUGAUGACACACCUUUGCUUCGUAUGCACUUCCACGUCAGACACCAUUGUGUCAGACUGCCCCUCUGCUGCCAUCUGUAACACAGAAACAUAUAAAAGGGUAUUGGUGGAAAGGUCCAUCCUCUACUGCCAUACCACCAGCAUCUGCCUCUAACUUUGUGCAUUAACAUAAUAAAAUAUGAAGUGGCCAUCAUAAUAUAGGAGACAUUACUCUCAGAGAGGCUCUUAUACUACAGAAAUUUAAAUUUAAAACCUCAAAACAGAUAAAAUAUUUGUAUCCAAGGAGGAAAAAAUCUCUUUUGUAUGCAUUAAUGUGUUUAUCUAGUUAAUAUCUAAUAAUAGUUAACAGAUAGUGCCAAAGUAGUAAGGUAGAAAGAUCAAUUUAGCACACAGGGUGCAUAAAAUAUGUAACAAGAUAGACACUCCAAUCUGAGAAUGGUAGCAGAAACUAAAGGCCAAAUGUUUUGAAUCCAUGCAUUUAAGAAGCAUAGUAAAGUAAGGCAAGUGUAUGGGAGACCAAUUUUUUUUUUUUUUUGUCUCUAAAAUCAUUUUAUGGGCUUUUUAAAACCAAAGCUUAAUAUUUUAAAAAUCCAGACUUCAAAAACACAUUUAUGAGACACGUUUACUAUGGGCAAUUAAUUUUAAAAAGUAAAAAUACAGGGGAAAAAAAUGAGAUACUGUAAUGCCAUUAUUUUAAAUUUCUCUAAGGAUGUAAACCUUAUCCACUGAAAAGUAUGCUAUUUUUUUUGGUUUAUAGGAAACCUCAACUUAUUAGAAUUUUGUUAUAUUAAAGAGUUAAUUCAAAAUGAAACCAGUUUAACACAGUAAAGAAUCAUGUCUUGGCAUUUGAAAGAUCAGUGUAAAUAGGAAUAACCCUUCUUUUCUUCUAUUAACCCAGCAAUUUUCAUUCCUUAAUGAGAUACAGAACAUGUAGGUCCUACUUGUAGGAUUUGCUCAUCUUUCUCAGCCCUUCAGGGCUCCCAAGAGUAACUAAACCAAAUCUAAUCAACAAAUUCUUACUAAAUUUAACAAAUAACUAGGAGAUACUAAAGUCAGAGUAACGGAUACAGUCAAUACAUGAACUCAGAUUAUAACUGUAAGGCAAUUAUGGGAAAGAAAAAUAGGUCAGAAGAAAAUAAGGCAGAAUAUGCUGUGUUUUUAAUGCUGUAUUUAUUAGCUGUCUGGUCCAGCUACUUUAUCUCUUUCUAAUCAUCUCUGUAAAUAAGACUAGUAAUGUCAUAUUCUUUCAUUCCUGCGUUACACUGACAAUUUUCGUUGCUUAAUGAGAUUGAAUGUUUCUGGGUUCUACAUAUGUAUACUCACUUUGGGGCAUUUUCUUUCCCAUGAUAAAAAGAAAAUCCUCCAAGAAUAAUAAACAAUUUGUAGUGAAUUUGGCAAACAAGCAGGAGAAAUGUGUUAUGCUUUAAAUUUUAAGUUAUAAUAAAAUUGCUCUUAAAAACCACAACAUAAAUUUCUUCGUGAGGUGUGGUAUGGCAUGAAUCAGUACAUUGGUUGUUAUAUCCAGAGUCUACACAGUAUUGGCUACUGCUGGAUACAGAAUAUUGGAUUUCAUAAAACUGUCAUGAUUAAUACACUAAUACAGUGGUAAAUCCUUUGUCACCCAGAAUAUGAACAGGUUUCCCUUCCCUUCCCUUCCCUUCCCUUCCCUUCCCUUCCCUUCCCUUCCCUUCCCUUCCCUUCCCUUCCCUUCCCUUCCCUUCCCUUCCCUUCCCUUCCCUUCCCUUUUUUCCUUUCUUUUCCUUUCUCUCUCUCUCUUUUUUUUUUUGAACUACUAGUAUUUAUAUUUAUAAAUAAUUACACUGAUUAUAUUUUAAAUUGAUUAUACAAUAUGAAAUUAUGCACUCUCUUCCCUCUGGCUUUUUUCCACAUUCAUGUAGAGCUGUUUACAUGUCACUUCCUUGUAUUUGAUUCUCUCAGUCUUCUUAAAGGAGAGCAGAUCCUAUAAAUACCUAUUCAAUAAUAUUAGUAAAAUCAUUAAAUGAUAGAACAAGUAUCUUUUCAAGGCUCUAUGGUAAAGUCCCCAAAGUAAGCCUACUGUCAAACCAAGAGAUUGUUUGCAGUGGAAGAGCAACAGAAGGGGAAGCAUUAAGACCUGGAUGCAGACUGAAAUAACAUAGAAACCAGUUGAAAAUAUAGGACGAGCAAGACUGGAACCAUCCAAAGUUGAACUUUCUACCCUACAUGGUCAUAAUCCUCAGGAGAAAGAACAUCUGAGCAAAUUCACAAAGAAUCCAAUAUCCACAAGUCAUGAACUGAUGCACAGAAAAACAGGAAGAGGAGGGAGAAUUGAAUGCUUCUAGCGUUGGUGUUAGCCUAGCAAAGGAAACAAAAUGUCUUUAAAAAAUAGGAAAUAUGAAUAAUGGAUCCAUGUUUUAACUUUUAAAUAUUAAUUCCUGGAAGUUAAAUGUAUUUGAGUAUUUUUACAGCUAACAGGUACGUCCCACCUUUGUGUCACCCCUUCUGUGCUCUGUAUUGUUAUAUUUUUAUGUUUCUUAAACUUUGUUCUCAAAGGUUAACUGUGUAAUUUGAAGUCUCUGUAAAACAUGAAUGCUUUUUUGCUGCCCUUAAUCUACAUUUUAAUUCUUUUCAAUCAUUUCUUAUUCACGUGAAUCAGUUAAAUACAUGAAAAAGGAAUGAUUUGUCUCUGAUGAUUCUGAUUAACUUAAUACAUAUUUCAUUAUCACAGGUUAUAUAUACCUUUUAAAGUAGCUUUACCCACUUACAUGCUUAAUGACUAUGACUCCUAUAUUUUGACCCAGCUCCUUAGUUUGGGUUUGUCUCCCUCUGCUUGGUUUCGCAAGGUGAUGUGAAGUUCUGACAUCUUUGUGUUAGAUUGCUGACAAUUUCAGUUUAACAUGGCCAUGUGUGCUCUGCUGUCCUACCUUGUCAUUGCUUUCACC